rnacentral:rRNA from 1 species
UACGUAGGGUGCGAGCGUUAAUCGGAAUUACUGGGCGUAAAGCGAGCGCAGACGGUUAUUUAAGCAAGAUGUGAAAGCCCCGGGCUCAACCUGGGAACUGCGUUUUGAACUGGGUAACUAGAGUGUGUCAGAGGGGGGUAGAAUUCCACGUGUAGCAGUGAAAUGCGUAGAGAUGUGGAGGAAUACCGAUGGCGAAGGCAGCCCCCUGGGAUAACACUGACGUUCAUGCUCGAAAGCGUGGGUAGCAAACAGGAUUAGAUACCCUGGUAGUCCACGCCCUAAACGAUGUCAAUUAGCUGUUGGGGUACAUGAUGCCUUAGUAGCGUAGCUAACGCGUGAAAUUGACCGCCUGGGGAGUACGGUCGCAAGAUUAAA